UACGAAGGGGGCUAGCGUUACUCGGAUUGACUGGGCGUAAAGGGCGCGUAGGCGGUUUGUACAGUCAGACGUGAAAUUCCUGGGUUCAACCUGGGGGCUGCGUUUGAUACGUGCAGACUUGAGUUCGGAAGAGGGUCGUGGAAUUCCCAGUGUAGAGGUGAAAUUCGUAGAUAUUGGGAAGAACACCGGUGGCGAAGGCGGCGACCUGGUCCGAUACUGACGCUGAGGCGCGAAAGCGUGGGGAGCAAACAGG
rnacentral:rRNA from 1 species